rfam:Vitis vinifera, whole genome shotgun sequence of line PN40024, unoriented chromosome 7, chr7
GAAUGAAAGGAUGAUUAUAUGUUUCCCUAUUGGUUUGAUCGCCGAGAUGAUGGCGAAUCUUUUGUAUUAGCUCUAUCUGAUUAUUC